rnacentral:rRNA from 1 species
UAGGGAAUCUUCGGCAAUGGACGAAAGUCUGACCGAGCAACGCCGCGGGAGUGAAGAAGGUUUUCGGAUCGUAAAACUCUGUUGUUAGAGAAGAACAAGGACGUUAGUAACUGAACGUCCCCUGACGGUAUCUAUCCAGAAAGCCACGGCUAACUACGUGCCAGCAGCCGCGGUAAUACGUAGGUGGCAAGCGUUGUCCGGAUUUAUUGGGCGUAAAGCGAGCGCAGGCGGUUUCUUAAGUCUGAUGUGAAAGCCCCCGGCUCAACCGGGGAGGGUCAUUGGAAACUGGGAGACUUGAGUGCAGAAGAGGAGAGUGGAAUUCCAUGUGUAGCGGUGAAAUGCGUAGAUAUAUGGAGGAACACCAGUGGCGAAGGCGGCUCUCUGGUCUGUAACUGACGCUGAGGCUCGAAAGCGUGGGGAGCAAACAGG